UGCGUGGUCUCUUUGGAAUGUCCAAGUCGAAAGUUAAAGAUGCAUUAACUAGUUUAGGGAAAAUCUAAGAUUCAUGCUUCAGAAUGUUACAAGUAUUUCAUUGGCUUAUACUUUAUAGACAUAUUUUAAAGAGGUGCAGAAAGGACAGUUUUUGUCUCACCAUAGCAGCCAAGGUGCAUUUGCCCAGUGCCUUCCAUUGUCUUUCCCUGUGGGAGUAACUUUUAGGUCCAGUGAUGAGGAGCCUGUGAUGUCUGUGUUCUGGUUUGUUGAUAACAUUACCAUACAGGGCUUCACGGGUGUCCUUCUUAGCAUGGAUUGCUUCCAUUCAUUGGUUGCUGGAAAAUUUGCUUUCAAAUGUUUUUAACAGUGACUCUUAGGGAAAAAAAAUACAUUUUAUUAGAUGUCCAUUCUCCCUAAAUUUACCUGAGUUCAACUGAAUUCCAAUAGGUUUUUUUUUAGUGUUAAUUUAAAAAAACAAGCUGGCCAGGUGUGAUGGCUCAUGCCUGUAAUCCCAGCACUUUGGGAGGCCAAGGUGGGCGGAUCACUUAAGGUCAGGAGUUUGAGACCAGCCUGGCCAGUAUGGUGAAACCCCAUCUCUACUAAAAAUACAAAAAUUGGCUGGGCGCAGUGGCUCACGCCUGUUAACCCAACACUUUGGGAGGCCGAGGCAGGAGGAUCACGAGGUCAGGAGAUCGAGACCAUCCUGGCUAACAUGGUGAAACCCUGUCUCUACUAAAAAUACAAAAAAAAGGCCGGGUGCGGUGCCUCACACCUGUAAUCCCAGCACUUUGGGAGGCUGAGGCGGGCGGAUCACGAGAUCAGGAGAUGGAGGCCAUUGGGCUAACAUGGUGAAAUGCUGUCUCUACUAAAAAUAUAAAAAAUUAGCCGGGUGAGAUGGCAGGCACCUGUAGUCCCAGCUACUCGGGAGGCUGAG
rnacentral:lncRNA from 10 species